GCCGGGGUGGCCGAGCGGACUAAGGCGGCACUAUCCCAUCGAUAGCGCUAAGGGCCGCAGUGGGUCUUGCAGAGACCCGUUAUUUCACGGGUUCGAAUCCCGUCCCCGGCU
rnacentral:tRNA from 1 species